CAGCCGCCGCGGUAAUACGUAGGUGGCAAGCGUUGUCCGGAAUUAUUGGGCGUAAAGGGCUCGCAGGCGGUUUCUUAAGUCUGAUGUGAAAGCCCCCGGCUCAACCGGGGAGGGUCAUUGGAAACUGGGAAACUUGAGUGCAGAAGAGGAGAGUGGAAUUCCACGUGUAGCGGUGGAAUGCGUAGAGAUGUGGAGGAACACCAGUGGCGAAGGCGACUCUCUGGUCUGUAACUGACGCUGAGGAGCGAAAGCGUGGGGAGCGAACAGGAUUAGAGACCCCAGUAGUCCCUGUCUCUUAUAC
rnacentral:rRNA from 1 species